rnacentral:sRNA from 1 species
GGCAUGGCUAGGGUAGCUCCCGAAAAGCCAGUACCGCACUGGCCUGCCGCGUCGUCAACAUGCGGA